AGCUCCAAUAGCGUAUAUUAAAGUUGCUGCAGUUAAAAAGCUCGUAGUUGGAUUUCUGACUUGCUGCGCCUGUCCCGCUACGGCAACGUAUGUGAGUGACGGGGUGUACGAGUCAUCCUUCGAUUCUGGCGGUCGGUCCUUCAUUGGGUCGGUCGACUGGGUCGAUCGUUUACUUUGAAAAAAUUAGAGUGUUUCAAGCAGGCUUAAUGCUGUGAAUACAUUAGCAUGGAAUAAUGAGUUAGGACUUCGGUUCUAUUUUGUUGGUUUCUAGGGCUGAAGUAAUGAUUGAUAGGGAUAGUUGGGGGUGCUAGUAUUCAGUGGCCAGAGGUGAAAUUCUUGGAUUCCCUGAAGACUAACUAAUGCGAAAGCAUUCACCAAGGAUGUCUUCU
rnacentral:rRNA from 1 species